ensembl:snoRNA LOC120101275 small nucleolar RNA SNORA48
UGCCACCUGACAAAGUUUAAGGAGACACCUUGUUGACAGUGUUGAUCUUAUAUUAGUCAGGGGCAGAGCAGAUGGAUGUGCUUCGUUCAUCCUAGCAUGAUGCCUGACUUGGCAGCCAAAGCUAUCUCUUAUGUCUAGAAUUCAUAA